ensembl:lncRNA
CAAUGUGCAGAGAGUCAUUACAGAUUUCACCUGCAGUGUUUAGACAGGACAGUGUUGUGGAGAUGAGUUUUGACAGGACAGUGUUGUGGAGAUGAUUUUGACAGGACAGUGUUGUGGAGAUGAGUUUAGACAGGACAGUGUUGUGGAGAUGAUUUUGACAGGACAGUGUUGUGGAGAUGAGUUUUGACAGGACAGUGUUGUGGAGAUGAGUUUUGACAGGACAGUGUUGUGGAGAUGAGUUUUGACAGGACAGUGUUGUGGAGAUGAUUUUGACAGGACAGUGUCGUGGAGAUGAGUUUUGACAGGACAGUGUCGUGGAGAUGAUUUUGACAGGACAGUGUCGUGGAGAUGAUUUU